AUAAGUUGGGUAAUCUAAUUUUUUUUUUUUUGGUUUAUAAGCUGUUUUCAGCUUAUAAGCUGCUUUAGAUAAGCUAAGUCAAAUGAGUCUAAUUAUUUUUAUUGUGCUUAUUUUAAGCACAAAAUCACUUUAAGCUGGGCCAGACAAACAGUAAAAAAAAAAAAAAAAAUUUGAAAACACCUUAUAAUCCAAUCCAAACGGGCUCCCAGACUCUUCAUCUUCUUCUUCCUGAUAGCCUAAUCCAAAAUUGCUUCUCUUUCUCACUUUCCCUGCUUCUCCGAUCAGUUUCUUUGUGCCCUAGAGGAAAAUGAUAUUCUUCUUCUCCGGCCUUUUUUCCUUCUUCUCAACCAUGGAAAGCCAUUUUUUAGACGCAACGUAAUGGCAAUUCUAAUUCGUUAGCUCAAUCGACCAGUUGUGUAAGUUCAUCUCUUUCGUCCCUUAUUAGUUCAUUUAUUCUAACAUUAUAUUUCCUACAUAAAAGGUACCCCUAUAUCUUGGACUGGAAAUUGAUACCCAUUUAGUUGAAUUGGGCUUUCUUUGAAUUUAUCACUCAUUUGUUUACUUGGAAGUUCAAAUUGUUUUCACAAUAGUCACCAGCUUUACACCCCGUCAUUAAAGAAAAAGAAUACUGAACUGAGAAAAACAUCAUUUCUUUUUUUAGAGUAUUCUGCUAUCUUAAUUUUCUGUGAAAGAUAGUAAACUGAGAAAGUCUCUUAAUGCAAACAGUGGAGAAGAUUUAUCAAGGGAACUCUGCCUAUUAAUUUAUCCAUAAAAAUGCCUGUGAAAGUGGAAUUAGGAGUAAAAUCUGUAAUGUAGAUAUGGUAAUUAGUUGGUCGUUUAAAGAAUCGUAAUUGAGAAUAUGGUUGUAAAUUGGACAAUUUUAGGCUCCCUUUGAUAGAAAGACCAAUAUUUAUUCCAUUCCUUCUCUUAUUUAUUAUCGGUCCUUUUUAGUAGACUUAAUUAUUGGCAGAGGUGGAUCCAUGAUUUAAACUAUGUGGGUUCAAUCUUAAGAUUUAUUUAGUAUAGAAUGUGGUUCUCCGGGGUUUUAGAAACUAAAUUUGCGGUAUGAUUGAUACGAUUCAGAGACAGAAAAAGACUUAUACAUCAAUAGAGGUAAAUAGGGUGCAAUAUUCUGGAAGUUCAUGAAAGCAAACGAAAGACAUAAUCAUUCUGCCCGACAUAAUUUCCUUUUCGAAUGAUUUUUGCUUGACAUAAAUUGGCAGCUUAUUCAAGGCAAGGUAUGGUCUUUUGAUUAAGUUCACAGUAGAAUGCUCAUACGUGGUACAUGUAAUUACCUUAACUUUAUGUGGUCCGAUGAGUUUUAGGGCUCUUGAAUCUAAAAUUUCUUUGCGGUGGAAAAACCUUUUGUUGCUCAUGUGAUAUUGUGUAUGGGCAGUAUGUUCAAGAGCUCAUAACCUUUCGUUGGAAAACCUUUUGUUGCUCAUAACUAAGAAAAAUUACACAAAAAGCAGUACGUUCAUUUCAUGGUAUUCUUGCGUCCACACAUAGAAAAAGAAAAUUGUGCUAUCUUCUUAUUAACCUAUGUGAUGAACGGAUGAUGAAUGAGAGUAAUAAUCAGGAAGCUUUAUGUAGUGUCUUAGCUAAAAAAUUGUUGGUCAGUGUGUUUACCUUCUUUAAUCAUGUUGAUAAUUGAUUUAUUUUACUUGAAUUUUAGUGCACAUGUUAGCUUAUACCAACCAAAAAAAUAUUAUGUUUAACUUUGCAAUUCAAUUCUAAAAGCUCCUCAUAUAACAAGGGGUAUUUUGGUACUUUCACUUCAAUGGCAACGCUUUCAAAUUUACUAUGCAAUUGACAAACACGUGUUCCCUCAUACAGGCAACAGCCCUUUUUGACGAAUGAGAAUGCUAUUUAUUCAAUUGUUGAAAAUUACAGUUUUUUUACACUUAUGGAGUGUUCAAUUUGAUUCAAUUUGAAGGAGAAGAAAAGAAUCAGAAAUGAAAGUAAAGCGAAUUGAUGGGAAAUUAGAAAAGACUGAUUCCAGUUCCGAGUUGGUGGAUCAAUCUGGUGAUGAAAUUUCACAUUUAGCUAUCGAUAUUGAAGAUGUAAUUGGUUGUCAAGUAGAAGUAUUCUAGGUCGUGGCCCAUCUAAGCAGUUUCCCCGCAGCUGUGACAUGCAGAAGUGUACUCGGUGGUGCCUCUAUCUAAGCGGUUUCCCCCGCAGCUAUAUUACAGUAUCGAGAAUCUAAUCCAGUGAAAGUACUACCAAUGGCGUUCAGGUGGACUAGGUUUUCAGUCUAUGAAAGCUUGAUUUUGGUUGGUGAAGGAUGUGUUAACUGUUCCAAGGCAGCAUUUGUGAAAUGCUCACUCUGUUGGAAGGGGAAUGUGAUGAUUCAAUUGAAGCAUGACAUGUCUACGUAUGCAUAUCCGCUAUUUUUCUUCCAUGUGCUAAAUCAUAUCAAAAUGUUAAUUUGAAGGAAUGAAAUUCUAUAGCCUGCAUUUGACAUGUAGAUUCAUGUUGGGUCUCUGCGUGCAAUUGUGCUAUAUCAUAUCAAAAUUGUUGAGUUUCAACGAAUAGAGUUCUAGAGCCUGGCAUUGGACGUGUAGAUCUUCUGUACGCACGGGCAACGAUAUCUAGUAUACAUAUACAUAAGAGACUAGAAGCACACACCUGUUCGUCAACAUGUGUGCUUCAUCAUAGGCCCGUUUAACUUUUUCAUUCACAGAGUGACUUAUUUGGCUACAUUGUUAGCCACGUGAUUAUAUAUAACUGUGAAAACUUGCUUGUGA